GACGAACGCUGGCGGCGUGCCUAAUACAUGCAAGUAGAACGCUGAAGGAGGAGCUUGCUUCUCUGGAUGAGUUGCGAACGGGUGAGUAACGCGUAGGUAACCUGCCUGGUAGCGGGGGAUAACUAUUGGAAACGAUAGCUAAUACCGCAUAAUAUUGACUAUUGCAUGAUAGUCAGUUGAAAGGUGCAACUGCACCACUACCAGAUGGACCUGCGUUGUAUUAGCUAGUUGGUGGGGUAACGGCUCACCAAGGCGACGAUACAUAGCCGACCUGAGAGGGUGAUCGGCCACACUGGGACUGAGACACGGCCCAGACUCCUACGGGAGGCAGCAGUAGGGAAUCUUCGGCAAUGGACGGAAGUCUGACCGAGCAACGCCGCGUGAGGGAAGAAGGGUUUCGGAUCGUAAAGCUCUGUUGUAAGAGAAGAACGAGUGUGAGAGUGGAAAGCUCACACUGUGACGGUAUCUUACCAGAAAGGGACGGCUAACUACGUG
rnacentral:rRNA from 1 species